UGGGGAAUAUUGCACAAUGGAGGGAACUCUGAUGCAGCAACGCCGCGUGCGGGAUGACGGCCUUCGGGUUGUAAACCGCUUUCAGCCAUGACGAAGCUUUUGUGACGGUAGUGGUAGAAGAAGCACCGGCUAACUACGUGCCGGCAGCCGCGGUGAUACGUAGGGUGCGAGCGUUGUCCGGAAUUAUUGGGCGUAAAGAGCUUGUAGGCGGUUUGUCGCGUCGAUAGUGUAAACACGCAGCUUAACUGUGUGCCUGCUGUCGAUACGGGCUGACUAGAGGAGGGUAGGGGAGAAUGGAAUUCCCGGUGGAGCGGUGGAAUGCGCAGAUAUCGGGAGGAACACCAGUGGCGAAGGCGGUUCUCUGGACCUUUCCUGACGCUGAGAAGCGAAAGCGUGGGUAGCAAACAGG
rnacentral:rRNA from 1 species